GCUCUGACAGAUCGGCUUGAUUCAGAGGAAGUGGCAAGCUGGCAUAUCACAAGAAGUUCUCUAUUGAGUUACUCUCCAUGAAGUUUCGACGAGUGAAGAUCAGCAACGAAGUGCAAGGCCAACUGGUGCCAAAGCUUGGUUAGCAGAGACUAGCAAAGCCAUGCAAGGCAUCCCAAAGCAGGAGCCUUGUCCCACCAUCUGCGGUCCUUCCUAUUCAUAUUCUUUCUAAACAUCACGUGUCUUUUCACUUGUCUGCUUUGGUGAAACAUCCUCUCACCUGUGUCUGCUUCAGCACAACAUCCUUUCACCUAUCUGCUUCAACAAAAUACCCUUUCACCUAUCUGCCCCAGCAAAACAUCGUUAUGACCUGAGUCUCCAAAGGAACCAGAAAUUUCCACUUCAUGAAACACUUCUGAUUCAUUAUCUUUAGAGAAUGUGCUACAAUGACCCUGUUUCCCCCCCCCCCCCCCCCCCCACCUCACCCCCGGGGAUGAAGGGACAGGGUUCGUGUGGCUGAGGUUAAUCUUUAGCUCCUAACCCUCCUGCCUCUACUUCUGGAUUUCUAGGAUUACUGGCAUGCUCCAUCACUGUGCAGGGCUAGGGUUCAAACCAAGGACUGACUCCUCUUCCAGAGGUCCUGAGUUCAAAUCCCAGCAACCACAUGAUGGCUCACAACCAUCUGUAAUGAGAUCCAAUGCCCUCUUCUGCAUACAUAACAAAUAAAUAAAUCUUUAAAUAAAAUAAGAAAAAUGAUCUGGACUGAGGGUAUAUAUAUAUGUACAGUUGAUUGGUAUAAUUUCAUUUUUAAUUUUUACCAACUGAGCCUCACACCCAGUCCUGAUUCUCCUCUUUGUAAAAGGAAAGGAAGGAAAAUGAAUGAGGCUGGGUGAUCUGAUGUCUAAUGUUCUGCUUUGAUACUUUAUUUCAUACCCAAGACUCAGUCUUCCUGGGUGUCUAUAGGCUGAUCUUUAAAAAAGGAAUCACUAUUCACAAACCCUCUUGCACUCACAAGGAGACAACAGCAGCUGGGGAGCUGCCGGAAGACCUGAGCUUGAAUCCCUAGGAGCCAUAGUGGAGCUCCAACCCCACAGCUCCUACACCAAGAAAGGAGAAUCCACUAACACUCUAGGAAUAGCUAGCCUGCCUUCCACAGCCUAAAAAAGGAGAUUCCUUCUCAAACAAGAUGGAUGGCAAGAACCAACACCAGAGGUGUAGUGGAGUAUAGACCCAUAUUAGAUUCACACAUGCAACAAUGGAAGGGAGGAAGGAGGCAAGGAGGGAGAAAAGGGAAGAGGGAAAAGAAACAUGCUGGGCUCAAGAGAUGGCUCAGCGGUUAAGAGCACUGACUCCUCUUCCAGAGGUCCUGAGUUCAAAUCCCAGCAACCACAUGAUGGCUCACAACCAUCUGUAAUGAGAUCCAAUGCCCUCUUCUGCAUACAUAACAAAUAAAUAAAUCUUUAAAUAAAAUAAGAAAAAUGAUCUGGACUGAGGGUAUAUAUAUAUGUACAGUUGAUUGGUAUAAUUUCAUUUUUAAUUUUUAAGCAUAUAUACUUACAUUUAUUUACUUAUUUGUUUAUACACGUGUGCCACAGCACAAGAGCAGAAGUCCAAGAACAAUAUGUGAGAGCAGGUGCUUUCCUUUGGUUUAACUCCUGUCAUCAGGUUUAUUGACAAGUGCCUUUACCCACGGAGCCAUCUCACCAGCCCAGGAGUAGAAUUUUGAAUAAUGCUUACAUUAGUCAACAGUUUCUCAAAAUGGCAGAACACUUGCCCAGAGUGCAUCAAGGCCUGGUUUCUAUCACCCCAUGCUCUCUAUAUGUGUCAGCCAGUGUGAGUUUAUGUGCACCAUGUGUGUGCAGAAGAUUUCGGAGGCCAUGGAGGGUGUCAGGGAGUAGAAUUAGAGGCAGUUGUGAGCUGCACAGUAGGGAGUAGGAACCAAACCAGGGACCUCUGCAAGAGGUAAGUUCUCCCUCACUCUCUCUGUCUCUCUCCCUCUCUCCUUCCCUCCCUCUCAGUUUUUUUUAAACAAGGUUUCUUUGUGUAGGCCUGGCUGUCCUGGGUCUCACUCUGUAGACCAGGCUGUCCUCAAAUUCACAGAGAUUCCGCCUGCUUCUGCCUCCUGAGUGCUGGGAUUAAAGGCGUGCGCCACCACCGCUAGGCAAGCAAUG
ensembl:lincRNA